GACUAAAACAGGACUAAAACCAGGACUAAAACAGGACUAAACCAGGACUAAAACCAGGACUAAAACAGGACUAAAUCAGGACAAAAACAGGACUAAACUAGGACUAAACCAGGACUAAAACAGGACUAAAACAGGACUAAAACCAUGACUAAAUCAGGUCUAAACCAGGUCUGGACCCGGAAGCGACAUCGACGUUUAUCAUAAAAGUCUAAGAGCUGUACAGUUUUUAAAAUCUUGUUAAAUCUUUGGGUUUUUUUUUUGUUUUUGUUUUUCUAAACGGGCCAAAUAUCCAAGUGUUUUUUUCUUCUUCUGUGUGAUUGACGUGGCGGCCCGUGCGUCUGCGUGGAAACUUCUCCGUGCGUCUGCGUGUUUGGAGGACGGACUCUUGUAACGGCGUCUCUGAACAGCUGAAUGAAUUGUGUGUAAUGUGUCGUUACCAGUGACGGGCUGAGCAGUGUGGACGCGUCUCCAACUAAUAAAAACAUUCAGUAAAACA